CACACACACCUGCGAUGGUUCAUCUUGGAACAGGAGGGCAACUGAACAAAAAUCUGAGGAGGGCACCCGGAUGUAGCUGCUUCAUCAAAGAGUAACCUGAGACACCUUUCUGAUAUACAAAGAAGUGUGGCCCAGACAGCACCUGAGCAUCUGUGUCAUUGACAUCUAAGCAGACGACAGACAAAGCUCAAUGGAGAAGCCAGCCCACAAUAUUUAAGAAAUUCUACUCACAGAUGAUGAAACUGAGGCACAGACUGCUUGAAGAAUCUGUCUGAGCUCGUACAGCU